rnacentral:rRNA from 1 species
AACGUAGGACGCGAGCGUUAUCCGGAUUUACUGGGCGUAAAGCGCGUGCAGGCGGCCUGUUAAGUCGUGCGUGAAAGCUCCCGGCUCAACCGGGAGAGGUCGACCGAAACUGACAGGCUAGAGGGCAGGAGAGGCGUGUGGAAUUCCGGGUGUAGUGGUGAAAUGCGUAGAUAUCCGGAGGAACACCAGUGGCGAAGGCGGCACGCUGGGCUGCACCUGACGCUAAGACGCGAAAGCAUGGGGAGCAAACGGGAUUAGAUACCCUCGUA